AUCACUGUGAGAAGGGUCGAAGGUGGACGUUCUGUCACCAGAUCUUGACAUGGUAUCUAACUUUGGACACCUCCUAAAAAAGGGCACACAUUUCACACAGUCAAUUCAUAGGCAUUCUUUUUUUCCCCGUGACAAACAUUUCGAUCCUAGCGACUUCAGCUGAGCUGAAACUGCUAAUUCUGUGACCACGCUUCUCUCUCUGGGUGAAUGAAUAUCUCACAGGAAAAAAAAGACUCUGUCCCACAAAAUAUUUUUCUCCUCAUCUUUCACAUGCAUGGAUUUAUGAAGGUGGAUGAACAAUGCAAUCUUCAGAUGAUGGCACAAACUUUCUUACCAUUUUAUUGCCUGUGCAGUUGCAUAAGAUGACAAACCAGUACAGUACUGUCUGCAAUAAUGAAUUGCACGGAUUCUAUCCCAUUAAUACUGUUGAUGCAUUGAAACAAAGAAAUGAUUAUCCACUUGAUAUUACGAUCGUUGGAAAUUAUCAGAUUGUCUUGUUAAUGUCUUGGUAACACUGACAUUUUGUUAUUAAGACUUUCUCUUUCAAUUGCAUCAGAUGACAUACAUUGUCAGACCAACACUGCUAUAAUGAAUUAGUCUAGCUUAUAUUACACUAACACCACUGCGGCAUAAAAACAUAGAAGUUAUUAUCCCACUCCUAUCAUAUUCAUUUAACAUAAAGCAGAUUGCCUUUAUAAUGUAUCCAAGUACAGGGAAAAAAUACACAAAGAGCGUGUCUCCUCUGAAUUGAAUACAACAAAAUGCAUGGGACAUUAAUACAGCACAUGUGUGUUAAAUUGAUGGUCCACUGCUUUAAAGGCACCAGUUGUAAUGUUUACAUCCCCAGAAUAAAGAAAUCAGUUUUAGGAUGUGCAAUUACCAUUCCUUUCAGUGUGUUCGACCAAAUUCACUUAGUUUUGGUGUAUUGGCAUUGAUGAAGUAUUUAGCAUAUGGGCACAAAAGAGAAACUUUAAAAAAAAUCCACAACAGUUCCAACGUGAAUUGGUUGGAGAUUUGAAACCUGGAGUUCCAAUAAAAUGCGACCUAUCUGCAUAGAUCAACUUUAUUUUUGUUUGAUAAUGAUAGACACCAGCUGCGUUAUUUUAUGUUCAAAACAUGCAAAAUUCUGUUUUUCAUUACACACAGAUAAAUAUUAUGAUGCUUUGCAUAAAAUGCAGGAUACAUUGUGAACGCAGUUGAUUUUUAUUGAUCCAGAGUCCCUAACUAAAAGUAGUCCCUAUUCUGUCCAGUAAACGUCUGAAGCCAUAAAAUACAUCCGUUUCUGGUUUAUUGGAUUAAUGGCUUCCUGAGGUUCUGACUCCUGCAGGAGGUCUAUGGGCGUGUUAAACCCAACCAAAGAUAUCUGUUAACACCACUUCAAGCCGAUGGAAAUUUAAUAAACUGAUCUGGGGAACCAUGCCAAUAUUAAACAGACAUGAAAACUCAACCAAAUUAGUAAUUCAACAACAUUUUAUCCCGAGGUGAUUAUAUGUCAAUAUGUGUGAGGUGUCGUUACAUCUCAAUUUUUCCAAACCACCAUCAGAAACGUGUAACGGCGCAGUUACUUGGGGUUGGGGCUGGGUAUCAACGGUUGUAGACCAGAAAUCUCCCAGGCACACUUUUACCUGCUGGGUUUAGCACGAAACGUAUGCUGCAGGCAAAGUAUUAUUUUUCUAAAUCGAAGGUGUCAGAUGGUCACGGAAAUGUGAUUGCCUGUUCUAGACCAGUGCCUAGAUUCUUCAAUUUGUGGCUUGUGACGAAUCGUUCUAAAUGUUCCAACUGUAAAUCCUGGGUCCUGUGCCUGUAGAAGAAUGUUAUCGGUGGUUUAAACACAGAUCUGUCUUAUUUAAUAGUUUUGGCAAUUUCAAAUUAUUCGCAUGUUAGAGGCUUACUGCCAUUACCGAUAAAGAGUUCCCUCAUUGAUUUGA